rnacentral:sRNA from 1 species
ACGUUUACUGGAAAUGAAAUAAUCAAAAAGGCUAGCACCUAAAUCGUGCUAGCCUUUUUUAU